rnacentral:rRNA from 1 species
CCUACGGGUGGCUGCAGUGGGGAAUCUUGCGCAAUGGACGAAAGUCUGACGCAGCGAUCUCGCGUGAAGGAUGAAGCUUUGCGGAGUGUAAACUUCUUUUCUGGGAGAAAACGACUGAUGGUAUCUCAGGAAUAAGGAACGGCUAACUACGUGCCAGCAGCCGCGGUAAUACGUAGGUUCCAAGCGUUAUCCGGAUUUACUGGGCGUAAAGCGUCCGUAGCCGGCUUUGUAAGUCCGCUUUUAAACCCCGAAGCUCAACUUCGGAUCGGGAGUAGAUACUGCAAAGCUAGAGAAAGAUAGAGGUAUGUAGAAUUUCAGGUGGAGGGGUGAAAUCCGUUGAUAUCUGAAGGAAUACCAAAAGCGAAGGCAGCAUGCUAUAUCUUUUCUGACGGUCAAGGACGAAAGUGUGGGGAGCGAACGGGAUUAGAUACCCGUGUAGUC